GAUGAACGCUAGCUACAGGCUUAACACAUGCAAGUCGAGGGGAAACGAUAGGGAAAGCUUGCUUUUUCUAGGCGUCGACCGGCGCACGGGUGAGUAACGCGUAUCCAACCUGCCCAUCACUUGGGGAUAACCUUGCGAAAGUAAGACUAAUACCCAAUGACGUCUCUAGAAGACAUCUGAAGGAGAUUAAAGAUUUAUCGGUGAUGGAUGGGGAUGCGUCUGAUUAGCUUGUUGGCGGGGUAACGGCCCACCAAGGCGACGAUCAGUAGGGGUUCUGAGAGGAAGGUCCCCCACAUUGGAACUGAGACACGGUCCAAACUCCUACGGGAGGCAGCAGUGAGGAAUAUUGGUCAAUGGACGAGAGUCUGAACCAGCCAAGUAGCGUGCAGGAAGACGGCCCUAUGGGUUGUAAACUGCUUUUAUAAGGGAAUAAAGUGAGUCUCGUGAGACUUUUUGCAUGUACCUUAUGAAUAAGGACCGGCUAAUUCCGUGCCAGCCGCCGCGGUAA
rnacentral:rRNA from 1 species